GUGAUUUUGUACAGUUGGUAGGCCUUUCACUUCAUCAUUUGUACGAGAAGGCUGAGAUAAGGUAGUGUUAGAUCUGGGGAUGUUUUGCGGAGGCAAAGUAGAAAAGUCAUGUGCUUGUUUCUGGGGAGAUGAGUUAUUGGGAAAGAAAUAAGAGAAAAUAGAAGAGAAGUGAGAUCUAUCAGAAGCAGAGGAAGUAGCAACAGAGCUAGAAGUAAAGAUAUUAUAAAACCAAGGAGCAGAUGAGUUAGGAGAAGGGUUGAAGGCCAAGAAAACAGUGAAAGCAACGAAAACAAAAGCAAACCCAUAAGCAAACGCCACAGUUCUUCUAGUUUUAAGAAGAGAAGAAAGGCUCUUCAGGUAAGAAACGAGGGUUCCUCCAUUGAUGGACAGGUGCUUAGUGGCUGCAUCAGCCAUGACAGACACAGAAGGUUUAGAUUCUCUAUUUCUUGGUCUCAGAAAAUGGAAAUGGAG
rnacentral:misc_RNA from 1 species